CGGGACAGGGAGGCGAAUUUCCCGCCCGCCUUGGGGCGGCCAAAUGUCUGAAGCUGGCCCUGCCUGGAAUGCAUUCAUCUGGGAGCUGAGCUGACGUGGCCUUACCAGUUCUUUUCCCCUGGAAGUGAGAGCGCUCCACCUCCCUCCAGCUCUGCCCCGAAGACUUCUCUGAACUUCCCUGCCUCUUCAUUCCCAUCCUCCUCCAUCCUGCCACUCUGCUAUAGUUUUCAUCACCUCCACCCCGACGCAACACCUUAUUCUCCACUCCCUUCUUAUCCACCUUGGAGUUAGUAGAGAAGAAAAGGCCUUUCUUCAGGUCUUGCCGCUUCACCUCUCCGGAGUGAUGAUCUGAAGAAAGGACACUGGAGUCAGGACGGGAUAGUACGGUUGCUACCUCCCAGUCAUGGGAAUCGGCCCCAGGUGGAAAAGGGAAGCAGGGAAGUGCCAGCAACUUUUUCCUGUCCCCAGCUGGCUGCUGCCUGGAGUUGGGGGAUGGUAUCCACACACACCUGGUCAAGGAAGUGGUUCCUUAGGUAAUCCAUGGCCUGCAGGAUGCCUCUCGGGAGGGGCUGGCUGGUCCGCUGGACGUUGAGGAGCAGUGGGACACCAAACACUUUCCUGUCCUUGUAA